GUGGGGAAUAUUGCACAAUGGGCGCAAGCCUGAUGCAGCCAUGCCGCGUGUAUGAAGAAGGCCUUCGGGUUGUAAAGUACUUUCAGCGGGGAGGAAGGUGUUGUGGUUAAUAACCGCAGCAAUUGACGUUACCCGCAGAAGAAGCACCGGCUAACUCCGUGCCAGCAGCCGCGGUAAUACGGAGGGUGCAAGCGUUAAUCGGAAUUACUGGGCGUAAAGCGCACGCAGGCGGUCUGUCAAGUCGGAUGUGAAAUCCCCGGGCUCAACCUGAGAACUGCAUUCGAAACUGGCAGGCUGGAGUCUUGUAGAGGGGGGUAGAAUUCCAGGUGUAGCGGUGAAAUGCGUAGAGAUCUGGAGGAAUACCGGUGGCGAAGGCGGCCCCCUGGACAAAGACUGACGCUCAGGUGCGAAAGCGUGGGGAGCAAACAGGAUUAGAUACCCCGGUAGUCC
rnacentral:rRNA from 1 species